rnacentral:rRNA from 1 species
CCUACGGGUGGCAGCAGUGGGGGAUAUUGCACAAUGGGGGAAACCCUGAUGCAGCGACGCCGCGUGUAGGAAUACGGUCCUCUGGAUUGUAAACUACUGUCCCCAGGGACCAAGAUGACGGUACCUGGGGAGGAAGCUCCGGCUAACUACGUGCUAGCAGCCGCGGUAAUACGUUGGGAGCGAGCGUUGUCCGGAAUGACUGGGGGAAAAGGGAGCGUAGGCGGGGAUGCAAGUUGGGUGUUAAAUCUACCGGCUCAACUGGUAGGCGCACUCAAAACUGCAGCUCUUGAGUGAAGUAGAGGCAGGCGGAAUUCCUAGUGUAGCGGUGAAAUGCGUAGAUAUUAGGAGGAACACCAGUGGCGAAGGCGGGCUGCUGGGCUUUUACUGACGCUGAGGCUCGAAAGUGUGGGGAGCAAACAGGAUUAGAUACCCCGGUAGUC